AGGCAACAAGACAUGCAAAAAUGGAAGCUCUUGAUAUUCUUCUUGAGCAGUGGCGGUGGGCUGGAUUUCCAUCUGCAGAAGUUGCAGAGAAAUUUUCAACAUGUUCCCUUUAUGUGAGUAAUGGAAAUCUGAUCAAAUGCAACCUAAGUAUAGUUGAUUCAAUGGAACGGUGUUCAGCCAUAUAAUGGUUGCAAAGAAUGGGUGUGGAAUUUGCUUAGUAACAAAAGCUCCAAAGCCUCACGGGUCAUGGGUUACUCAGGCUUCUUAUUAGAUCUGC